UGUGGGAGCUGGCUUGCCUGCGAUGUCGGUGUAUCAGUAACAGAUGUUUCGACUGAAACACCGCGAUCGCAGGCAAGUCAGCUCCCACA
rnacentral:antisense_RNA from 1 species